rnacentral:lncRNA from 1 species
CUGGUAAGUUCCUCCCCAAGAGCUCCUAUUUCUUGCCCCAGCAUUGUUUUCUCAUCCUGCAAUCGAUCAGCCAAAGAUCUUAAGUCUUCAGUAGUCUUCUCUAUCUCUUCAAUUCUUCUCACAGCAGUCUCUUUCUCCAUGAGCAGGUUGGCUUUCUCUCUAGUCAUAUCUUCCAAUCUUGAAUUCUGUACCGAAACUGAUGAGGUAAGAGAUUUAUUUUCUUCCUCAUAAUGUGUCAAUUUUUGGCUUAAAUCUGAAACUUGCAGCUCUGCACAUUCUAAUUGCUGCUUCAAACUGGUGACUUCUGCUCUAAAACUUUCUAGCUCUUGCCCAAGAACUACCUUUUCUUUGUCAGCAACUUCCAAAGUGUGAUUAAGUUCUGAUACCAUCUUCUCUGUAGAUCCCAGUUGCUGCUGCCUGCUUGUAAGUUCCUCUCUAAGGGUUUCUAUUUCUUGCCUGAGCAUUGUUUUCUCAUCCUGCAAUUGAUCAGCCAAAGUUCUUAAGUCUUCAAUAGUCCUCUCUAUCUCUUCAAUUCUUCUCACAGCAGUCUCUUUCUCCAUGAGCAGGUUGUUUUUCUCUCUAGCCAUAUCUUCCAAUCUUGAAUUCUGUACCAAAACUGAAGAGGUAAGAGAUUUAUUUUCUUCCUCAGAAUGUGUCAAUUUUUGGCUUAUAUCUGACACUUGCAGCUCUGCAGAUUCUAGUUGCUGCUUCAUACUGGCGAUUU